GACCUCAGAUCAGACGAGACGACCCGCUGAAUUUAAGCAUAU
rnacentral:rRNA from 1 species